GACGAACGCUGGCGGCGUGCUUAACACAUGCAAGUCGGACGGAAAGGCCCUGCUUUUGUGGGGUGCUCGAGUGGCGAACGGGUGAGUAACACGUGAGUAACCUGCCCUUGACUUUGGGAUAACUUCAGGAAACUGGGGCUAAUACCGGAUAGGAGCUCCUGCUGCAUGGUGGGGGUUGGAAAGUUUCGGCGGUUGGGGAUGGACUCGCGGCUUAUCAGCUUGUUGGCGGGGUAGUGGCUUACCAAGGCUUUGACGGGUAGCCGGCCUGAGAGGGUGACCGGCCACAUUGGGACUGAGAUACGGCCCAGACUCCUACGGGAGGCAGCAGUGGGGAAUAUUGCACAAUGGGCGGAAGCCUGAUGCAGCAACGCCGCGUGCGGGAUGACGGCCUUCGGGUUGUAAACCGCUUUCGCCUGUGACGAAGCGUGAGUGACGGUAAUGGGUAAAGAAGCACCGGCUAACUACGUG
rnacentral:rRNA from 1 species